CCCACAUCCGCAGCAGGUCUCCAAGGUGAACAGCCUCUAGUCGAUGGACCAAUGUAGGUAAGGGAAGUCGGCAAAACGGAUCCGUAACCUUGGGAUAAGGAUUGGCUCUGAGGACUGAGCCGGUCGGGCUGGGGACCUGAAGCAGGAACGGCACUGCACCGGGACUGGGCGGGGCUCGCCGUUGACGCGGCGCGGCCAAGCCCGGACCAGCGUCGGGACCUUCCUGUGGAAAGCCUCAGCUGCGCGGCGUCCGAGGGCUUCGUGCCCAAAGUGCUAUGCUUCGGCCGGCAAAAAACAGUCAACUCAGAACUGGCACGGACCGGGGGAAUCCGACUGUCUAAUUAAAACAAAGCAUUGCGAUGGCCGCUGGUCGGUGUUGACGCAAUGUGAUUUCUGCCCAGUGCUCUGAAUGUCAACGUGAAGAGAUUCAUCAAAGCGCGGGUAAACGGCGGGAGUAACUAUGACUCUCUUGUCGAGUUCGGGACUAUUGGAGGAACGCUUUGUUAAAGAUGGUGGAUGGUCGAGGACUACGGGAGGCGAGAUUGGCUGUUAGGGCAACAUGGGUGCGGGACCCUCCUAGAUACCUUUCCGGUAGGGAGUACGUGGAUUUGAUUAAACUCAGAAUACACGCGCUCCCGACGAAGUCUAGGUGUGCUAGGGGGCGAGCCAAGGACUUAAGAUGUCGUGCAGGGUGUGUCGUUAAUGAAACGCACACCCACGUGAUACAAAUAUGCCCUCGAACUUAUUCUGCACUACUCAAAAGGCAUAAUGAGGUCGUUGCAUGGUUUAGGCGGAAGGCAGAAAGAGAAUCUUUCAUUUCUGCGGAAGAGCCUCGUGUUAAAGUCGGUGACGAAAUUCUAAAGUCUGAUUUAGUUUUAGUUAAAGACAGGAGGGCACUAGUUGUCGAUGCCCAGGUGGUGGGGGAGUAUAAACCCUUAAACACUUUAGAUGCAGACAAAAUACGAAAAU
rnacentral:ncRNA from 1 species